rnacentral:rRNA from 1 species
AUUGAACGCUGGCGGCAUGAUUUACACAUGCAAGUCGAACGGUAACAGGCCGCAAGGUGCUGACGAGUGGCGAACGGGUGAGUAAUGCAUCGGAACGUGCCCAGUCGUGGGGGAUAACUACUCGAAAGAGUAGCUAAUACCGCAUACGAUCUAUGGAUGAAAGCGGGGGACCGUAAGGCCUCGCGCGAUUGGAGCGGCCGAUGUCAGAUUAGGUAGUUGGUGGGGUAAAGGCUCACCAAGCCAACGAUCUGUAGCUGGUCUGAGAGGACGACCAGCCACACUGGGACCUGGACACGGCCCAGACUCCUACGGGAGGCAGCAGUGGGGAAUUUUGGACAAAGGGCGCAAGCCUGAUCCAGCAAUGCCGCGUGCAGGAAGAAGGCCUUCGGGUUGUAAACUGCUUUUGUACGGAACGAAACGGCUCUGGUUAAUACCCGGGGCUAAUGACGGUACCGUAAGAAUAAGCACCGGCUAACUACGUG